UACGUAGGGUGCAAGCGUUAAUCGGAAUUACUGGGCGUAAAGCGUGCGCAGGCGGUUCGCUAAGGCAGAUGUGAAAUCCCCGGGCUUAACCUGGGAACUGCAUUUGUGACUGGCGGGCUAGAGUAUGGCAGAGGGGGGUAGAAUUCCACGUGUAGCAGUGAAAUGCGUAGAGAUGUGGAGGAAUACCGAUGGCGAAGGCAGCCCCCUGGGCCAAUACUGACGCUCAUGCACGAAAGCGUGGGGAGCAAACAGG
rnacentral:rRNA from 1 species